AUUGAACGCUGGCGGCAUGCCUUACACAUGCAAGUCGAACGGCAGCACGGGAGCAAUCCUGGUGGCGAGUGGCGAACGGGUGAGUAAUAUAUCGGAACGUGCCCAGUCGUGGGGAUAACGUAGCGAAAGCUACGCUAAUACCGCAUACGAUCUAUGGAUGAAAGCGGGGGAUCGCAAGACCUCGCGCGAUUGGAGCGGCCGAUAUCAGAUUAGGUAGUUGGUGAGGUAAAGGCUCACCAAGCCGACGAUCUGUAGCUGGUCUGAGAGGACGACCAGCCACACUGGGACUGAGACACGGCCCAGACUCCUACGGGAGGCAGCAGUGGGGAAUUUUGGACAAUGGGCGCAAGCCCUGAUCCAGCAAUGCCGCGUGCAGGAUGAAGGCCUUC
rnacentral:rRNA from 1 species